UUUUUUAUUUUUAAAUAGAAAUCAUUUUAGCUGGCCUACAAAUUUUCAUAUAUUUUUUCAAAUAAUAAAGAUAUUCUUAUUUUAUACACCAAAUAAUAUCCCAACUACAUUUUACAUUCAUCCCAUUUGCAUUCGAAUUUGUGUUUGGAUGAGCAAUUUACUUUUACAUGACAGAACCUAAUUUAGAGAGUACUCUAAAUAGCUAUGUUGCCGUAGUUCCACUUCAAAUAUUGAUUUUUGCUUUGUGGUAUAGCAUUUGGUUAGUCUUAGCCAUUUUUUCCUUUUAAUCACUUUUGAUGUCAUUACUUAAUCAAAUCGGAAAGCCCUUGAUUUCUCCUUAAUGAACUAUGACGCUUAUGAUUGAUGUGAAAAAAUUUUCAUAACUGCAUAAUUUGCUAUAUUUAUUGAAGAUGUUACAAGAAUGAAAAAUAUCAACACUUUUGGUGGUACAUGAGCAGAACAUCUAGAGAGGAGUAAAAACUUUUGCAUCAUCAUUUUAACAUAUUUGCUCUAGAAUAUAUUUGCUACUAAAGUCAUAAUUUCUUACAUGAUUGUAACCAUAAUUUUUCUUACAUAAUUUCUUAAAUUCAAAGAAAAUAUACAGAGAUAGUGAUCAAUAGCGAAUUGCUUUAUAUUAUGACAGUUUCUUUAUAGAUACUAGAAAUGGAUGAUGUAAUAGUGGUGCACACUGGAGGUUGCCAUAGCAAGAGCUGCUUUAUUUAGUAUAUAUAUCUAGCGAUAAUUGUUUAUAUAAGGUGUAUAAAUUUUCAAACUGAACCCACUAGAACUUGAUUUCAUAAAAACACAUAUUCUCUAGCUAAUUGAAAUGGCACAAGGUAAUAAUAGUUUCUUUUAAUGUGGAUUAGGAAUUUGAAUUUUAACAACUACAUAUAAGCUUACCAAUACAAUAAUGAUAAAUAAACACUUCAAGUUUAUUCCAAUGCCACCGGAUGGGAAUGAACCAUUGGCUUUGGACAUGGAAAGAAUGGAGAAGGGUCAGGUAUGGAUUAAUGGAGAGAGCAUAGGAAGAUACUAGAUGGCUUAUGGAAAUGCCUGUAGAUGAUGAUUUGGAGAGUUGGCAGGAGGAACAGGUUGCGGUAGUAGAUUCAUGCCAAAUUGACUGCAUUCGGAAAAAGGGUCAAGGACUUAAAAGGUUUCAUUUAUUUUGAUAUUUGUCUUUUUAACUGUUAUCAAGGCUUAAAGUAUGUGUUGAGAUAGUAAUAUUUAGAGCAUAAGUGCUCAAAUUCAAUUUGGAACACUUAUGUAGCAUUAAAAAAAUAUUUGUAUAUGUCUUUUUAACAUUAGUUA